UUGGCGUCACCUGAAGAACCUGCUAGAAAUGUAAGAGCUCUGGGCCUUGCUUCAGACUCAGGGAAUCGGAAUCUGCCUUAUAAAAACAAUCCUGAGGUGAUUCGCAGGUAUAUUAACAUUUUGGAAUAGGAGAGCCUAUAAAGAGAACCACUGUCAGAAAGUGAUACAUCCAGGACAGCUACUAUUGAGAAAAACAGACUUCAGCAAGAUGUCCACACUCCAAGGUUAUGACCACCGUGACAAGCAGUUAGUGACUUCGAGGACAAGCCAUCUUCCUCAGAUGCUGCCCAGGUCCUUGUUCACCACCUCAGCCCCUGCUCCUGAGGGAUGUGCCCAGGUCCUGACACCCGGAUUCCACACAUGCUAUUCUUUAUUCAGAUUCAUCCACUUCUCCCAGAGAGCAGCCUGCAUUUUCAGAAGAGCGUACAUUCAUAACAGAAUUAAGAAGAGCUGGGUACAUAGCACGACGCUAUGGAUAACGACAGACAAACCCUGGGAUGUGGGAAAUGCUAAUUUCGGCUGGCACCCUGAAAGCAGAGGGUCUUAGCCCAGAGAUAUUUGCACUGAAGAGCUCGCCGCUGAGCAGACAGCACUCGUUCUCUCUGCUCCCAGCGCCUCGGCUCAGCCCUCCUCUUUAUUUCUAUUUUCUCCCUCCACUAAAAACACCUUCCCUGGUGCCCAGCUCCUGCUCAAGGCCAACACCCUGACAGA